AACGAACGCUGGCGGCAGGCCUAACACAUGCAAGUCGAGCGGACCCUUCGGGGUUAGCGGCGGACGGGGGAGUAACGCGGGGGAAUAUGCCCUUCUCUACGGAAUAGUCCGGGGAAACUGGGGGUAAUACCGGAUACGCCCUUGGGGGGAAAGAUUUAUCGGGGAAGGAUUAGCCCGCGUUGGAUUAGGUAGUUGGUGGGGUAAUGGCCUCCCAAGCCGACGAUGCGUAGCUGGUUUGAGAGGAUGAUCAGCCACACUGGGACUGAGACACGGCCCAGACUCCUACGGGAGGCAGCAGUGGGGAAUCUUAGACAAUGGGGGCAACCCUGAUCUAGCCAUGCCGCGUGAGUGAUGAAGGCCUUAGGGUUGUAAAGCUCUUUCAGCUGGGAAGAUAAUGACGGUACCAGCAGAAGAAGCCCCGGCUAACUCCGUG
rnacentral:rRNA from 1 species